GCCCCAGCCCUUCCCAGUGCUUCUGGUAUACCCUAUAACAAUAUAGGAAAUGUUCAUUAAGGCCACUUGUUUGCAAGAGCACAAUAAAUAAAUACCAACUCUUUAUGUGUCCCCAUGGUUCAAAUAAUUAUUUUAUACUAAUCAUUGUUAAGCAUGUGAU